CAGAUCUUGGCCCUGGUGGCGGUGUACUACCUCCACGAAGGACUUCCCAAUCACUGCAGGAAGGCAUGGAAAUCCCCAUCACCUCCCAAUGUCUGUGAGUAGGACCACUGCAGAUGGGCCUACACUGUACAAAAAUAAAACUACGAAGAAAGUUGGUCGACACACGGGGGUUUCAACGGGGCUCCUCGAAGAUCUCUGCACAUGGAUCUCCCGCCUGGAAGUUUACAAAUUUGACGACGUUAAAGCCUGGAAAAUUUGCAUGUUCUCCCCGUGUUCACAAGGGGUUUCCUCCAAAAAUAACCCCAACAGAAAAAACAUGCAAAAACAGAACAUUCUCCUGUCCGUCCGUGACCGAGACGGACGGUUCACUUGGUCCCCGGGCGCUGAGAAGCUGCCCACUGCUCCUGGGGGCCAACAUAUGAUGAUUGCAUAUGAAAUUGGAUAAGUUAUCUGCAUGGAUGAUCAAACUCUGGCACCAGAUGAAGAGGAUCAGGAUAUGUUUGAGGUAAUGGCAUGAUCUGGUCUGAUCUUGCACCCACAAAUUCUCAAAGAUACUGUCAGUGUAUUGGUUAGAAGUGUAGAAAAGAGGAUAUGCAUACUUUCACUGUUUGUGUUUGUAGGAUUCCAGUGCUGAGUCAACAAGAGCCAGUAGUGCAGGGACAGGCGCAACUGGAGACAUUUUGCAUCUCAGGGUCAACAGCGAGUCAACUCCAAGUCAACUGCAGUCAGGGUCAGCUGCAGCUGGGGCAGCGAUAGGUCAGAAUUUGACACCGGAGAGUGUGCAGUGGAGGGAAAUAAGAAGUCUCACAUGUCCAAUAGUGGAACUUCUUCCAGAGCAUCACACAAUCCCACUAUGCCCUCUUGUAAGCAUUUUGUUUUCUAACCAGAUAUUUUCUUUUCACAUGUCAUUUAUGGAAAGAUGAACAUCUCAUGUAUAAAGGGAAGGGACCACUGUUCCUCAAAACAAAAUGUUCAACCCAUAGGCCCGUUUGAGGUCACUAAAAGCUGCAUGUAGAACAAAGAGCAGGACAAUUUGGU
ensembl:lncRNA